rnacentral:rRNA from 1 species
UUGCACGCUGGCGGCAGGCCUAACCCCUGCAAGUCGAGCGGAUGAAGGGAGCUUGCUCCUGGAUUCAGCGGCGGACGGGUGAGUAAUGCCUAGGAAUCUGCCUGGUAGUGGGGGAUAACGUCCGGAAACGGGCGCUAAUACCGCAUACGUCCUGAGGGAGAAAGUGGGGGAUCUUCGGACCUCACGCUAUCAGAUGAGCCUAGGUCGGAUUAGCUAGUUGGUGGGGUAAAGGCCUACCAAGGCGGCGAUCCGUAACUGGUCUGAGAGGAUGAUCAGUCACACUGGAACUGAGACACGGUCCAGACUCCUACGGGAGGCAGCAGUGGGGAAUAUUGGACAAUGGGCGAAAGCCUGAUCCAGCCAUGCCGCGUGUGUGAAGAAGGUCUUCGGAUUGUAAAGCACUUUAAGUUGGGAGGAAGGGCAGUAAGUUAAUACCUUGCUGUUUUGACGUUACCAACAGAAUAAGCACCGGCUAACUUCGUG